AACCCCAAUCGGUUCACUUCUCAGAAUCAGUCCCCCACUUCUUUUUCUUCCGUCUCCUCAAACUCAAAAAAAUCCUAGUUCCGCCUCCUUCGCUCCAACGACGAACUCCUUCAACUCCUCCCCCUCCUCCACUAUCAGCGAUUCCCCAACAAAGUCCUCCCACUCCUCCACCAUCAGCGACUCUCCAGCGACUCCUCUUCUCCACCUUCAGCGCCGCACGGUACCCCAUCUCCAGUUCUUCGCCGCCUCCUUUUCUCCCCCUCCUCCACCUCCAAUGACGAACUCUCCUCCUCCCCUAAUUCUUAUCGACAAAAAAAAUAAAGGCUCCUCAAUCUCAUCCAUCUCCGACUUUAUCUCCAUCAUCUCCCCAUUGAGAAUUGAUAGAGUAAUAUAGGAUAUUGAACAAUGUCCAAGAGUUUGGAUCUCAUGAGAGAGCAUGGUAUUUUCAAAGAGGGGGAAUACUAUCAAAAUAUGUAUUGCAAGUAUUGCGAUCACCAUAUCACGGCAGGUGUAACAUAGCUGAAACAUCACUUAGCCAGUUAUACGAAAGAGGAAAUGUAACAAAGUUCCAAAAGCAGUAAAAAGCAAUGUAUGGAACCUUUCAAAGGACCGUUAUAUGGAAGAGAAAGAAAGGCGGCAUUGAUUCAAUCAAUUGCAAGGACGGAAGAAGAUUCAACCCAAUAGGAGAUUGAUAGCUUAGAGGCACAAAGCGGACAUGAUAGCAGCAGCCAGGUCUAACAGUCCAGAACAUUUGGUCCAUUAGACCAAUUUUUUUAAUAUCCAAGGCUGUCAAACAACAAUAGAGAGCAGAACCAAAAAAAGAAGAAAGGGAUGCAGUGGUACAGAAGAUCGACCGAUACACAUUUGCUAACGAGUUGUCAUUCAACAUCUUGAACAACCCGCAUUGGAGAGACAUGGCCGAGUCAAUUGGGAAGUUCGGGUUUGGGUUGAAGCUUCCUACUCUGUAUGAGAUUAGGACUUUGGUGCUAAAAAAUGAGAUGGAGAAUAUAGAUGUCGUAAAAACAAACAAAAGAAGGCUUGAGAAAAAUAUGGGUGCACUCUUAUGUCCGAUGGAUGGUCGGACAAAAAGAGUAGAAGUUUGAUUAACUUCCUAGUGAACUCACGGGCUAGGACUUUUUUCUACAAGUCCAUUGAUGCAUCAAAGGUUAUUAAGGAUGAGGAGUAUCUUUUUCAGUGCCUUGAUCAUAUGGUGGAGGAGAUUAGGGAGAGUAAUGCUCUCCAAGUCAUCACAUAUAAUCAUUCCUCUUAUGUGCUUGCUAGAAUAAAAAGAAGUCACUUUAUAGGGGGGAAAAAGAAGUCACAUAUAAUCAUUCCUCUUAUGGAAAAAAAAGUUACUUUAUUGGUCACCGUAUGAGGCACAUUGCAUUUACCUUAUGUUGGAGGACAUCGGGAAAAUGAAGAUUUACCAGGAGACUCUUGAUGAUGCAAAGGGAAUAAUACAAUUUAUCUGCAACCAUUGAUGGGUUUUGAGCUUGAUGAGAAAGUAGACGGGUGGGAAGGAGCUAAUCAUUACUCGCUUUGCCACAUUCUUGUCGACACUAUAGAUGUUGUAUUCUUUAAAAGAUCCUUUGAAUAACAUGUUCUCUUCUGAGAAGUUCCGGAGAAGCAGCUAGGCAAAAAAGCCAAAAGGAGUGAAGGCAAAGGAGAAUGUUCUUUACACAUGAACAUUUUGUGGAAAAGUCAAUUUCUGCUUCACAACUACACUUCAGCUAGUUCAUAUCCUCCUGGAAGUGGAUUCCGAUGUGAGACCCUCUUAUGUCUUUUUUGUAUGAGAUGAUGGACGGUGUGAAAGAGAAGAUUGCCAAUGCAUAUAGUGGAAAAAAGAGGAUAUACAUGCCUUCUUUGGAAGCUUAUUGAUUCUAAAUGGACAAAUAUGUUGCACCAACCUAUCCAUGCCUCCGGUUACCAUCUUAAUCUGAAAUAUUUCUAUGGGGACAAAUUCAGCAAUGAUUUAGAGGUGAAGAAAGGACUUCACAUGUGCAUGAGUCACAUGAUCCCUAACGAAGAUGAGAGCAAUAGCUGAUUGUGAGCUAGAUGCUUACAAAGGAAAAAAAGAGGAGAAUUUGGGACAUCCAUGGCUCAAAAGACUCUUACUCAUCGUAGUCCAGUAUUAAUUUAACAGUUUCAUUAAUUUUCUAGUUUAUUAUAUUGAUUUUCGAUUUUUGAAUGCAUAGCUUCUUGGCGGGAGAGAUUUGGCGAUAAGACUCCUACACUAAGACGAUUUGCAGUUGGUGUUCUCUCUCUGCUACUAGUACAUCCAAAUGGGAGCAUAACGGGAGCACUUUUGAACACGUGUCCACUUGAAAAAGAGAUUUCGUUUGGAGCAACAAUUCCUAAACUCUUGUUUAUGUCAUGUACAAUAUCAAGUUAAGAGAAAGAAACAUGCGGAGAAGGAUGCGAGAGAUGGAGCUGAUUUUGUUAGAUGAGGUAUCUCUCGAUGAUGAGUGGAUAGUCGAGGAGGAAAAGCUUGUCUUCGAGACAAUCCGAGUUGGCUAGAUGGUGAUGGCGAGGAUAAGAGUAUCUUGAUGUUGUUGCAAUUAAUAGUAUAGCUACUGUGGAAGAAGAUAAGGAAGAUGCUCUAAUGGCAAAGAAACAAAGAGUUGACAGUUAUUCAUCCUCAACACAGAAAGGAAAAGGGAUCGCCACUGAAGAUGAGGUGGAUCCCGAGGAUGCAAACUAUAUUCUAGCCGAGGAUGACUUGGUUGCUUUUUGAGAUAUGGAUCUAGAGGAUGAUGACUUUAUUUUGUAGGAUUUAUCAAAGCUUCAGACUUGGACGUGUUUGAUUUCGUGAAGACUGUUAAAUUGCUUUAACCUUGACGUAAUUGAUAAUUUCAUCAUGUGAUGAUGCUUUAUGGCAUGGUUAUUAGUCAUAAGUGAAUAACUUU